rfam:Populus trichocarpa scaffold_1_contig_386, whole genome shotgun sequence.
AAAAAAGCAGGGGCUUGUUGCCUUGUGAACAAGUCUCGUAAACUUCAGGGAAUAGGAUACAUCAAAAUUU